rnacentral:rRNA from 1 species
UGGCGACGCAAGGCGGCGUCGCCGAUACCGCAGAUCUCCAGCGGACAGGAGAAGGGAGCUUGCUCCCGUCGUUAGCGGCGAGGACGGGUAGAGUAACACGUGGGUAACCUGCCUGUAAGACUGGGAUUACCCCGGGAAACCGGGGCUAAUACCGGAUGGUUGUUUGAACCGCAUGGUUCAAACAUAAAAGGUGGCUUCGGCUACCACUUACAGAUGGACCCGCGGCGCAUUAGCUAGUUGGUGAGGUAACGGCUCACCAAGGCAACGAUGCGUAGCCGACCUGAGAGGGUGAUCGGCCACACUGGGACUGAGACACGGCCCAGACUCCUACGGGAGGCAGCAGUAGGGAAUCUUCCGCAAUGGACGAAAGUCUGACGGAACAACGCCGCGUGAGUGAUGAAGGUUUUCGGAUCGUAAAGCUCUGUUGUUAGGGAAGAACAAGUACCGUUCGAAUAGGGCGGUACCUUGACGGUACCUAACCAGAAAGCCACGGCUAACUACGUGCCAGCAGCCGCGGUAAUACGUAGUGGCAAGCGUUGUCCGGAAUUAUUGGGCGUAAAGGGCUCGCAGGCGGUUUCUUAAGUCUGAUGUGAAAGCCCCCGGCUCAACCGGGGAGGGUCAUUGGAAACUGGGGGAACUUUUUUGCAAAGGAAAUGGAAUUUCCCCUGUACGUUGAAUUG